AACAUCGCGCACCUGCGGGAACCUGCGGAAGGAUCAUUACCGAGUUUACAACUCCCAAACCCCUGUGAACAUACCAAUUGUUGCCUCGGCGGAUCAGCCCGCUCCCGGUAAAACGGGACGGCCCGCCAGAGGACCCCUAAACUCUGUUUCUAUAUGUAACUUCUGAGUAAAACCAUAAAUAAAUCAAAACUUUCAACAACGGAUCU
rnacentral:misc_RNA from 1 species